UGGUGAUCACAUCGCUAACUUCCGGCGUUA
rnacentral:piRNA from 1 species